UGCGCCUUGCCAGCCCGCUCAGAAACUCAAAGGAAUUGGACGGGGGCCCGCACAAGCGGUGGAGCAUAUGGUUUAAUUCGAUGAUACGCGAGGAACCUUACCUGGGCUUAAAUGCUUAAUGACGUACUGGGAAACUGGUAUUUCUUCGGACAUUUUGCAAGGUGCUGCAUGGUUGUCGUCAGCUCGUGCCGUGAGGUGUCGGGUUAAGUCCCAUAACGAGCGCAACCCCUAUUGUUAGUUGCCAUCAGGUCAUGCUGGGGACUCUAACAAAACUGCCCGCGUAAGCGUGGAGGAAGGUGGGGAUGACGUCAAAUCAGCACGGCCCUUACGUCCAGGGCUACACACGUGCUACAAUGGCCGGUACAGAGGGCAGCCACUUGGUGACAAGGAGCAAAUCUCAAAAGCCGGUCUCAGUUCGGAUCGGAGUCUGCAACUCGACUCCGUGAAGUUGGAUUCGCUAGUAAUCGUAGAUCAGCAAUGCUACGGUGAAUACGUUCCCGGGUCUU
rnacentral:rRNA from 1 species